CUUAGUUAUGGCACACGGGAUCUUUAGUUGCUGUGUGUGGGAUCUUUAGUUGCGGUGUGGGGACUUCUUAGUCGUGGCACGCAUGCGGGAUCUAGUUUCCCAACCAGGGAUCGAACCCAGGCCCUAUGCAUUGGGAGUGCGGAGUCUUACCCACUGGACCACCAGGGAAGCCCCGGGAUGCUUGCUUUAAUUACAGAUUGCCAAGCCCUACCCCCAGGGAUUCUGGACCAGUCUCAGUUGGAGCCCAGAAGUCUCCAUUUUAGCAAGCACUCCAGGUAUUCCUGUAGCAGGUGGUCUAGGACCACAACUGGAGAAGCACUGACCUAAAGGGGACCCAUCAAGCUUUGUACUUCUUAAUGACAAUGUCAAGCACCAGUAAUGACCUGAAGAUGCCAUUGGAUCUCAUAUCCAAACAAUUCUAAUUUGGGAUUUCUUGGUGUAUCAAGGGCCCAUGACAUUCAGAAAACAUUUUUCUGAGAACCCAUCAUGUGAAGAGCAUUGAACAGCAUUAAGAAUAGUCACGCGCACAGAUAACUUCAAAACCAGGCUGACUUCAAUAGAAUCAUCAAGUGCUUGGGCUCGGAAACCUGCAGAUGAGGAGUCCUUCUAAAUGCUGGGAUUUAAGAAAAGCACUUUGGGAGUGGCGCCAUCUGAGGUGUAGCUGGAAGGAAGGGAGAGUCAAGCUUCUUGGGAGUAUGGCACAGAUGUAUACAACUUUUCACAAAGGAGCCUACCACUUUUUUCUAGAUGUGUAAAAUGGGGGAAAAAAUCAUAUGAUCUUCCUCAUAGGACUUCUGUGUGAAUUAAAUGAGAUCCCCAUGCUCUGAAAAUUUAAAAUGGGCAAAGAUUUCCUGCAGACCUGUACAGUCCUGGAGUAAGGGUAUACCCAUGACAGAAGAGAUUGUUUUAGAUAUAUAACCACUGGGGAAUGCUACACACCCACACAAAGCUGCCAGGUACUGCCUUUCACAUUUAAAAGCUGUGAUUUACUGACAGAUGUAUAAAAUCUGAUAUAUUUAGUCAGCUCCUGUCGACUACAUGUGUACUGAAACACAAAUUACAUAGAAGUGCAAAUUAUUCCAGCUGAGAUCAGCAUUAAUUGAAACUUAGAAUAACAAUCCCCUUAAAACUUUCUUGAAAAUCUUGUUGCCACAUGAACUCCAGUGGUUUUUGUUUUGUGGUGUUUUGUGUGUGUGUGUGUGUGUGUGUGUGUGUGUGUGUGUGUGUGUAGUGUAGCCUGUUGAGCUAUCUGUCCUUCCCUCAUGCAAGAAAUUUUUCAUAAGGAGACAGGAAGCUAAGGAAAGGAGCUACAUUAUAGAACACACAGGUUACACUGAUGUUAAGAGCCAGUAUCCUCUCCAGUGGGUCUGCAGUCUGCAGGCAUGUCCUCAGCUACACUCAACAGCCAGCAUCUCCAUUCUAGGAGGGAUGACACAGGUCAAUUAACCAUCUUGUUUGUAUUUAGAGCUAGGAAGCAACCUUAAAGUUCAAUAUUUGGGGUCUUCGAUUAUAUACUACGUGAGAAAUUUAGCUAAAACGCCGAUUUUUCCAAGUUGCCACCAUGCUGUGUGUAUGGCUGAGACUUUUCCCCCCCAGAUAUAUGCAAGGAACCUGGAUACUGCAGUUCCUUUAUUAUAUAUCCAUGACAUGUAUUGUUUUAUUUACAAGAUUUACUUUGUAUUUUAGCACAUAUAUGUAAUUAAAAAUAUAUGCAUAGAUAGAGCCAGCUAGUCCAGAUAUGGCAAAGUUAUACUAUAUAGAUGAUACUUCCAGUAAAAAGAUCUUAUUUCUUCUUGACAGCCUGAGCCUAUUAGCUGUCUGAAAUCCCUGGGUAUAAAGUGAUUCUUAUAGGACACUUUUCCUUGGAGUUUAAAAUAUAAGACAACACUAUGUCUCUCUAUCCUAUUACAAAAGCGGCCUUAUAUUCACAACUAACAGAAAUCAGAAAAUGCCAGAAGUUAAUGUACUGGAAAAGGCUGUUAACCCUCUUUGGUUUUAUAAACAAAUAUGGUAUGUGACUCUUUGUAUGAACAUGUAGCUCCCAAAUGAAUAUGUAGGUAGAAAAUAUAUAGGUCCUAUGAAUAUGUAGGUAGAAAAGAGUUAAGAGCAAAACCUACUUGACCAUCCUGUCAGGCUAGAAAGUAGACAGUUGGAGUUUCCUCAGGGAAUUCUUUAGAAGGAUAAAGUAAGGAGCGCCACCAAUAUAGCAUAUUUUUCCUUGCAGAACGGACCAUCCACCUGCGGAUCUUGGAGCAGAAAACCAAUCUACUUUUUCCUCUAAAACUGAAGCAGUUCUUGAGGGAAGGAAACAACCCCGUACGUCAUGCAGAGAAAAGAUCAUGGGCAAAGUCAUAGAGACCUGGAGAAGAAUUAACAUGUCAAGUUCAGGAGAAAAUGAGAACAGCCUUCCCGGAAGAAGCAAGCUGCUCAGACCAGAGACAGUGAAAGGAGGCAAAGGGCCUUAAAAACCUUGAAAAGGAGUUUCUAUGAGAGAAGGCCUGGACUGUGGAAACACACUCCUGGAAAUCCUGCGCCUGCAGCAGAAGGAAACCCUUGGUAAAUCACUCAACAUGAAGCUACAUGGUCAUUUUGGCACAGAAGAAGCAGACAGCGAUGAGCUUUCUCUCCCAGAUUGCAGCUCUGCCUCAGGAUGAAAUUGUUCUGAUCAACAUUUCCCCAUCUGGCAGGCAGGCGGCCAAAAGAUUGGAGACCUGAAAAUGGGUCACUGCGUUUUGACUCCCUGCAGCAGCCCAUACAUGGCGAUGGCUUACUGAGUGAGCACAAGGCCACAUUCUGAAACCAUUACAUGCCAUCUCACAGGGAGAGAUCCUGAGGACUGCAGAAGCCCUUCUUAGGAUACUGAGAUCGGGAUCUCAAAAGGCAUUGCGAGGAAGACAGCAGAUAACACUUCAAUUUUAUAAAGGUGGCAGGAUUCCACCAUCGCAUUAUGAAAGGAUUUUCCUAAGGAAGCCUGGGUGCAGAAAAUUUCAAAGAAACUCCUUUUUUUACAGCGAACAGUAAGGAAAAAAAAAAGCCAAAGGGAAAGAAGAAUAACUACAAAAGCCAGUGGUCCAUAUAUUUCAUAAGGAUCUAGAUACAUUUUUAAUGGAAUACUGGAUUAUCUGCAACAUCAGAAAAAGUAAAGAUAAUUUAAGGAAAAAUAUAAG